rnacentral:lncRNA from 1 species
UUUGUGAUGACUGUCAAGUUUCCAUGGGAACAACAUAACUCCACCCAUUCACAUGUGUGUGGGCAGAGAGGUCCCUCAGAGGCCAUGGAAGCUCACGUUGCUGUCUUGGCUCUGCUCUCAGCCUGCUGGGGGACUUAAGGCCAGGUGCCUCAGUUUCCCCAUUUGUCGCUGGGCAUGCUGAUGCCAACUCUGUCUCUCUCACAGGUCCCUUGAGUAACUGGAGAAGGGGUGAGGUUGCUCGUUACAUGGCAGAGACAGGAAGGCUUGAAGUUCAAGGUGAUGAAGUCAGGGAGAGAAGGAGGUAGGAAGGCCUGCUCUUGGCUUCAUGUUCCCUUUCCCCUAAACCAAGAAUAAGUUUCCCUAGGAAAGUGGACCUGCAUUCAGGAGUAGACAGGUGAGCUGAGUGGACCCACUACCCUCAGUCAGUGACAUUUUCUUUAUUGAUAGUGGCUGGAAUGUGGUGGUGGCUCCCCAGGGAGUCCCAGGGUCCUAGGAAUUCCCCCAAGGGACACAUUAAAUUUUCAGAUGUAAGCACUGGCAG